AGCAUAUCAAUAAGCGGAGGAAAAGAAACCAACAGGGAUUGCCUCAGUAACGGCGAGUGAAGCGGCAACAGCUCAAAUUUGAAAUCUGGCCCUAGGCCCGAGUUGUAAUUUGCAGAGGAUGCUUUUGGUGAGGUGCCUUCCAAGUUCCCUAGAACGGGACGCCAGAGAGGGUGAGAGCCCCGUACAGUUGGACACCAAGCCUUUGUAAAGCUCCUUCGACGAGUCGAGUAGUUUGGGAAUGCUGCUCAAAAUGGGAGGUAUAUUUCUUCUAAAGCUAAAUACCGGCCAGAGACCGAUAGCGCACAAGUAGAGUGAUCGAAAGAUGAAAAGCACUUUGAAAAGAGGGUUAAACAGCACGUGAAAUUGUUAAAAGGGAAGCGCUUGUGACCAGACUUGCGUCCGGUGAAUCACCCAGCUCUCGCGGCUGGGGCACUUCGCCGGCUCAGGCCAGCAUCAGCUCGCUGUCGGGGACAAAAGCUUCAGGAACGUAGCUCUCUUCGGGGAGUGUUAUAGCCUGUUGCAUAAUACCCUUCGGCGGGCUGAGGUACGCGCUCCGCAAGGAUGCUGGCAUAAUGGUCAUCAGCGACCCGUCUUGAAACACGGACCAAGGAGUCAACCUUAUGUGCGAGUGUUCGGGUGUCAAACCCCUACGCGUAAUGAAAGUGAACGCAGGUGAGAGCUUCGGCGCAUCAUCGACCGAUCCUGAUGUUCUCGGAUGGAUUUGAGUAAGAGCAUAUAGGGUUGGACCCGAAAGAAGGUGAACUAUGCGUGUGUAGGGUGAAGCCAGAGGAAACUCUGGUGGAGGCUCGCAGCGGUUCUGACGUGCAAAUCGAUCGUCAAACAUGCGCAUGGGGGCGAAAGACUAAUCGAACCUUCUAGUAGCUGG
rnacentral:rRNA from 1 species